GCCUGGGUGGCUCAGUGGGUUGAGCGUCCGACUUCGGCUCAGGUCAUGAUCUCACAGUUCGUGGGUUCGAGCCCCGCAUCAAGCU
rnacentral:tRNA from 1 species